UACAGAGGUCUCGAGCGUUGUUCGGAUUCAUUGGGCGUAAAGGGUGCGUAGGUGGCGUGGUAAGUCUGGUGUGAAAUCCCGGGGCUCAACCCCGGAACUGCACUGGAUACUGCCAUGCUUGAGUACUGGAGAGGAGAUUGGAAUUUACGGUGUAGCAGUGAAAUGCGUAGAUAUCGUAAGGAAGACCAGUGGCGAAGGCGAAUCUCUGGACAGUUACUGACACUGAGGCACGAAGGCCAGGGGAGCAAAACGGG
rnacentral:rRNA from 1 species